CAGUGGAACUGGGUUUCGAACCUAGAGCCCUCCGCUCCCAAAGCCGACACCUGACCACUCGGCUGUUCCCAU